rnacentral:misc_RNA from 1 species
GUUUAAGCCGAGGACGGAGUUUGAGAAGAAGAUGGCAGCACUAGUGGGUGAUACCGAGAUUACAAACGCACAUUGGAAGGAUGGUGCUAGACUUUUGGAGCUUAACAAGAUAUCUGUAGAGGAUGUGAAGGACCGUCAGAAUCGUCUUGCUAAAAUGCGAAGCCUGCUUUUCCAACAUGAGCUGAAGUCUAAGCAUAUUAAAAAAAUAAAG